rnacentral:rRNA from 1 species
CUACGGGUCGCUGCAGUGAGGAAUAUUGCACAAUGGGGGGAACCCUGAUGCAGCAACGCCGCGUGGAGGAUGACGCAUUUCGGUGUGUAAACUCCUUUUAUAUGUCAAGAAAAUGACGGUAGCAUAUGAAUAAGCACCGGCUAACUCCGUGCCAGCAGCCGCGGUAAUACGGAGGGUGCAAGCGUUACUCGGAAUCACUGGGCGUAAAGGACCCGUAGGCGGGUUGGAAAGUCAGGUGUGAAAUCCUACAGCUUAACUGUAGAACUGCACUUGAAACUUCUAAUCUAGAGUAUGGGAGGGGGAGAUGGAAUUAGUGGUGUAGGGGUAAUAUCCGUAGAUAUCACUAGGAAUACCUAAAGCGAAGGCGAUCUCCUGGAACAUUACUGACGCUAAGGCGUGAAAGCGUGGGGAGCAAACAGGAUUAGAUACCCGGGUAGUC